GCCUUAAUGAUUCCAUGGGCUGUGUGCGUGGCCCAGGCCUUGUUCCCAGUCAUGUGUGGCCCCAGGCCUGCCCCAGAGGGACCAUGCCAGGUGAGCGAGCAGCUUUUGCACUGAGCAGAGCCAUCAGCAUGCUUCCAGACAAGGGUGCAGUGGUCAUCCAGCCUGUCUAAACUCCAUUGUGAUGCUUUUAUUCCCAGGCCUUGUAGCCUCCCACAGCUGCAGCUCUGCAUCCCGUCUGAGCUGUUGUUCCUGGAGCUGAGCUGGGGUCGCUGCCUCACGCAGCACAGGGCGCUUGAGGGCUGUGAGGCGGGAGUGUGCGGCAGGAGGGUUGUUUGUCAUGUUUGCUCUGCCCUUUAGACACUUUUACUGUUCUGGCUGUUAUCACCAAUUGUCUGCACCGGUGAAUAGCGAUUUUAAACAGCUGUGCGAGUGCACUGAAUUAGUUAAGAGGAGCACAUCCACAGAGCCUCAGGACAACACACAUGCUCCUAUUAGUGUCAGGAUGCUGCUCUGGCUCUUAAUCACCAGACCCCAGUGAUUACACAGAGGCCUUUCAUUGCCAUUCUGUGGCCAGGUUUUUGUGCCUUGCUUUCCUAUCUGAGUCUUUCUGCUUUUGUUGCAGGACUACAGGCAGGUGCUGUGCUGCACCCGAUGUCAGAAAGAGCCACACAGCCCUCGUAAGGUUUGUACUGUUUUUGGCAAACAUAACCCUUUGAACCCGUGCACUCUAUCUGACCAGCAAGCAGUUUUGGUGUGAACCUCUGAGAAACCAUUCAGCUCAGUGUUCCUGCAGAGCCUUGAGGAUGCCCAGAAUAUCUCCACACUGGAUCAUUCUGUUCCUGGAGUGAGACCGGCACGGUGUGAAAGCAGCUGCCAGCACCAUUCACUCGGGCUCCCAUCUGGGAUGUUGUUCAAGGGAACGGAGUAGCUUCCAGCCAGCGGGAACUGGAGGUAUCUUUGCAACUGUGUAAUGCAGCAGCAUUGUGAACUGUUGAGUCUGGAUGCCAGUGCAGUUCUGUGCUUUUUCUUACAUUUACUGAUUAAAUCUGCUCCCAGCUGCAGGCAGCCUUUUGGGCCACAGGGUCUGGAGAGCUGUAAGGAAGCGCCUUUGCACUCUUACUCCUGUCCUGUGAUCCCAAUUGUUGGGUCAUUCUCAGCAUUUCAUUCUUUAUACAGCAUACCUCACCUUUGAGUCCUAAGGCGUCUUAUCAUCUCUUCUUAGUUAUAAUCACCACAACAGCCAUCAGCUGCUUUGUGCUUUUUAUCCAAAAUAUGCAGAUUCCAGAGGCAGCCUUGCAGGGUGCCAACAAUUGGCUGAGAUCAAUUGCAUGAACUUCAACAAAUGUCGUGUCCUGCAUUUUGGUUGCACCAACCCCGUGCAAUGCUACAGGCUUGAGGGAGAGUGGCUGGAAAGCUGUGUGAAGGAAAAGGA
ensembl:lncRNA